rnacentral:rRNA from 1 species
GACAGAGGGUGCAAACGUUGUUCGGAAUUACUGGGCGUAAAGCGUGUGUAGGCGGCCGUGCAAGUCGGAUGUGAAAGCCCCGGGCUCAACCCGGGAAGUGCACCCGAAACUGCAAGGCUUGAGUAUCGGAGAGGUUGGUGGAAUUCUCGGUGUAGAGGUGAAAUUCGUAGAUAUCGAGAGGAACACCGGUGGCGAAGGCGGCCAACUGGACGAAUACUGACGCUGAGACACGAAAGCGUGGGGAGCAAACAGG